UCCGGUUUGACACCGGCAGUCUCGCUAGAGUACUCGCCAUUACGCGUGAGCAACUAACGAUAGGGGUUGCGCUCGUUAGAGGACUUAACCCGACACUUCACAGCACGAGCUGACGACAGCCAUGCAGCACCUGUGAUCGUUCCACCCUUGCGGGUGUGGCCCCACUUUCAUGGGGUUAAUCCGACCAUGUCAAACCCAGGUAAGGUUCUUCGCGUUGCCUCGAAUUAAGCAACAUGCUCCACCGCUUGUGUGAGCCCCCGUCAAUUUCUUUGAGUUUUAGCCUUGCGACCGUACUCCCCAGGCGGCACGCUUAUCGUUUUUACUCCGACCGAUCCGGGGUCAAACCCGCACCGAUCUAGCGUGCAUCGUUUACGGCGUGGACUAC
rnacentral:misc_RNA from 1 species